rnacentral:rRNA from 1 species
AACGAACGCUGGCGGCAGGCCUAACACAUGCAAGUCGAACGGUAACAGGUCUUCGGAUGUUGACGAGUGGCGAACGGGUGAGUAAUACAUCGGAACGUGCCUAGUAGUGGGGGAUAACUACUCGAAAGAGUGGCUAAUACCGCAUGAGAUCUACGGAUGAAAGCAGGGGAUCGCAAGACCUUGUGCUACUAGAGCGGCCGAUGGCAGAUUAGGUAGUUGGUGGGAUAAAAGCUUACCAAGCCGACGAUCUGUAGCUGGUCUGAGAGGACGAUCAGCCACACUGGGACUGAGACACGGCCCAGACUCCUACGGGAGGCAGCGGUGGGGAAUUUUGGACAAUGGGCGCAAGCCUGAUCCAGCAAUGCCGCGUGCAGGAUGAAGGCCUUCGGGUUGUAAACUGCUUUUGUACGGAACGAAAAGCCCUGGGUUAAUACCCUGGGGUCAUGACGGUACCGUAAGAAUAAGCACCGGCUAACUACGUGCCAGCCGCCGCGGUAACAC